rnacentral:misc_RNA from 1 species
AGUUAACUCUUCUUCUUUUUUUUUUACAUAUGUGUUUAAUGUUUAAUGUUUAAUGUUGUUUUGACAUAUUUCUUAGCUGCUAUUUUCCGUGAAAGGGUCUCUUGUCAAGCGCACAUGUUAUUGAAAAAAAAAUCUUUACAGAAAUGUGUGAAAUUUGGUAUGCACACGUCUUUUUUAUAUCAGUUUGUACUAGUAUAUUUUUAUUUUAACGCAAGCACGAAGUUCACUCACCACGUCCAACAGACUUACAUUUUUUUUAUAUCUCUUUUUCAUGUUAUAUAGUCCGUGUAAUUUUAUUUUAUUUAAAAUCAUUUUAUUAAAAAUAAACAAUUCUUGAUAU